CUUCUAUAAUGCAAGAUAUUUAUGGCUGCAUUAAAGAUGUUCAAUCAGAACGCAAGCGAUAUAUACCAUCAACAGAUGAACAUGAAUCCAUUUCUGUGGUUACUCUUGAAAAUCUUAGGAGACAACGCGUAAUAGUCACACUUUGGGGACACCAUGCAAGAAGUUUUGACUUGAAAGUUAUUGAGGACCCAACAACAUCAGUGUUUGUCGCAUUCACAAGUUUGAAUCUAAAAAAGUUCCGAGAUUUAACAAACCAGGAGACAAACCAAUAAUCACUGCACCAUACAAGCAGAGGAAAAAAGAUGAAACAUGGAAGACAAUUUUUGAUCUAUAUACACUGGACCCAAAAGCCUAUAAGGAUCAAAUAGUUGUAUGUUGUGCAACGAUCAUCAGAUUCUCAACUCACAGCGGGUGGUGGUACAAUAGUUGCUCAGAACCAAAUUGUAACAAGCAACUGAAGCAACAUGGAGAUGAUGGCACCUACGAAUGUCAGAAACAUAACGUUGUAAAAGGAGCUUUGCUAUGUUAUAGAGUUUAUCUAACUAUAGAAGAUGACAAGGAGGAUCAAAUCACCCUAACACUAAUGGGACAACAGGCAGAACAGCUCUUUGGCUACACAUGUUCAGAAUUGCUAGAAAAAAGAAACUAUGCGGGUAAUCAUGAUCUACCGGAAGAAAUAGCCGCCAAAAGAGGCAACAAGUACCUGUUUGAUCUUCAAGUUAAGCUCGACCGUGAAAUCACUGUAAAGGGCAUACAACCAAACCCAGACAACGAUGAACCAAUAUCAGCCACACCUCAAAAAAACGUAUGAGAAAAAAAGGGCAGCUAAUCUCAUAGGCAAAUCAAUGGAUGCACCAGAGAAAGACAAGAAGACCAAAAGGCAAGGCAAAGAGGCAACCCCAUCUCUUACAGAGAAGAAACAAAGUGAAAAAGAUAAGAGAGAAUGAACUAGGCUGAAAAGCAUUUUCUAUCUAUAUCUAUAGCUUUUAUGUCGGUAUAGCAGUAGCUGCGCUUUUGUAUCACAGCAGCAAACAAAAGCAAUGGAUAAAUUAGUGCAAAAAAGGUUGGGGCAAUAUCCUUUUUGAACAAACCCCAAACUAAACUCCACAUCCAUUCAAGUUCACCACUGAUGCAGUAAGAGGAAAACCUAGAGUUCAGCAUUUUUUUUGUUAUCUAAAUGUUGUCCCAUUUUUUGGAUGGAAACAAACAGUUGUACUGCAACCAAAACCAGUUUCCUAUAAAAACUAUUGUAUAUUAAGUAAUCUAACUCAGAUUGUUAGAUUAGGCUCCUCUAUUUUGGGUCAGUUGUACUAGAGACAAAUAGUUCUACUGCACAACCAAAA